rnacentral:pre_miRNA from 1 species
GAACUACUCCCUCUGUCCCAAAUUUCUUGUCUUAGAUUUUUCUAGAUACGGAUGUAUCUAAUACUAAAAUGUGACUUGAUACAUCCGUAUCUAGACAAAUCCAAGACAAGAAUUUUGGGACGGAGGGAGUACUUU